CCUACGGGAGGCAGCAGUGGGGAAUCUUGCACAAUGGGCGAAAGCCUGAUGCAGCGACGCCGCGUGCGGGAUGAAGGCCCUCGGGUUGUAAACCGCUUUCAGCAGGGACGAGGCGCAAGUGACGGUACCUGCAGAAGAAGCCCCGGCUAACUACGUGCCAGCAGCCGCGGUAAU
rnacentral:rRNA from 1 species